CAUGCAAGUCGAACGGAAACAGGACCUAGCUUGCUAGGUUGCUGUCGAGUGGCGAACGGGUGAGUAACGCGUAGGCACCUAUCCUGAAGCGGGGGACAACUCGAGGAAACUCGAGCUAAUACCGCAUAAUACCUGAGGGUUAAAGAUGGCUAUUUAUAAGCUAUCACUUUGGGCGGGGCCUGCGUUCGAUUAGCUAGUUGGUGGGGUAAAGGCCUACCAAGGCGACGAUCGAUAGCUGGACUGAGAGGUCGGCCAGCCACACUGGGACUGAGACGGCCCAGACUCCUACGGGAGGCAGCAGUGGGGAAUAUUGGACAAUGGGGGCAACCCUGAUCCAGCAAUGCCGCGUGUGUGAAGAAGGCCUGCGGGUUGUAAAGCACUUUCAUUGGCGAGGAAAGGUUCGUGGUGAAUACCCGCGAACUGUGACGUUAACCAAAGAAGAAGCACCGGCUAACUCUGUGCCAGCAGCCGCGGUAAUACAGAGGGUGCAAGCGUUAAUCGGAAUUACUGGGCGUAAAGGGCGUGUAGGUGGUUUGAUAAGUUGGCUGUGAAAGCCCCGGGCUCAACCUGGGAGGGUCAGCCAAAACUAUCAGACUAGAGUACGGUAGGUAGUGGAAUUUC
rnacentral:rRNA from 1 species